AAAUUGAAGAGUUUGAUCAUGGCUCAGAUUGAACGCUGGCGGCAGGCCUAACACAUGCAAGUCGAGCGGCAGCGGGAAAGUAGCUUGCUACUUUUGCCGGCGAGCGGCGGACGGGUGAGUAAUGCCUGGGGAUCUGCCCAGUCGAGGGGGAUAACUACUGGAAACGGUAGCUAAUACCGCAUACGCCCUACGGGGGAAAGCAGGGGACCUUCGGGCCUUGCGCGAUUGGAUGAACCCAGGUGGGAUUAGCUAGUUGGUGAGGUAAUGGCUCAC
rnacentral:rRNA from 1 species